CGGACUCAACGCCGGGAAACUCACCAGAUAAGACAGCUGAAUGAUAGUCGGGCUGAAGACUCUACUUGACUAGCUGAGAGGAGGUGCAUGGCCGUCGUCAGUUCGUACUGUGAAGCAUCCUGUUAAGUCAGGCAACGAGCGAGACCCACGCCAACAGUUGCCAGCUCGUCCUCCGGGAUGGUGGGGACACUGUUGGGACCGCUCUGCUAAAGAGGAGGAAGGAAUGGGCAACGGUAGGUCAGCAUGCCCCGAAUUAUCUGGGCUACACGCGGGCUACAAUGGGUGGGACAAUGGGUAUCGACACCGAAAGGUGAAGGCAAUCUCCUAAACCCAUCCGUAGUUCGGAUUGUGGGCUGCAACUCGCCCACAUGAAGCUGGAAUCUGUAGUAAUCGUGUCUCAAAAUGGCACGGUGAAUAUGUCCCUGCUCCUU
rnacentral:rRNA from 1 species